GCGCAUAUAAAAGUCUGUCUCCCUCCAACCAAUAGAUGGCAAUAAAAUAACUGUGCGUGUGUGUGAUUUUUCUUUCUUUUUUUUUGGUGCGAAUCAACGAGGCUGUUAUCGAUAACGAUUAGUGCGAUAGACGCGCGAGUGGAGUGUGCGACGGCAAAGUGAACGCGGAGCGAGUGAAUUUUUUGUUUGUUUUUUGUUUGGUUCAUUGCUGAGGCACGCACACAACUGCAGACAGUCGGGGCACACAGACACACGCGCGCCGUGUGUGGGUGUGUGUGCGUGUCGGAUGUGUAGGCUGAACGCAGCAGCACGGGUAAACAUGGAUUGGACUCGGUGGCAAGACGCUAAAGCCAGAGACAGUGCUGGCAGUAGCAGCAACAUCAGCAGCAGCAACAUCAACAGCAGCAACAACAUCAGCGG